rnacentral:rRNA from 1 species
ACCGUGCAAAGGUAGCAUAAUCAUUUGUUCUCUAAAUAGGGACUUGUAUGAAUGGCCACACGAGGGUUUAACUGUCUCUUACUUCCAAUCAGUGAAAUUGACCUUUCCGUGAAGAGGCGGGACUACACAAAUAAGACGAGAAGACCCUAUGGAGCUUUAAUUAACUAACCCAUAAUAAUUUAUAAACUCACCUACCAGGUCUAACACAACAUUAUUACUGGGUUAACAAUUUAGGUUGGGGUGACCUCGGAGAAUAAAACAACCUCCGAGUGAUUAAAUCACAGACAAACCAGUCGAAGCAUUUUAUCAUUUAUUGAUCCAAUAUUUUGAUCAACGGAACAAGUUACCCUAGGGAUAACAGCGCAAUCCUAUUUGAGAGUCCAUAUCAACAAUAGGGUUUACGACCUCGAUGUUGGAUCAGGACAUCCUAAUGGUGCAGCAGCUAUUAAGGGUUCGUUUGUUCAACGAUUAAAGUCCUACGUGAUCUGAGUUCAGACCGG